rnacentral:rRNA from 1 species
CCUACGGGAUGCAGCAGUGAGGAAUAUUGGUCAAUGGGCGAGAGCCUGAACCAGCCAAGUCGCGUGAAGGAUUACGGCCCUACGGGUUGUAAACUUCUGUUGUCAGGGAGCAAUUGGGUCCACGCGUGGGCUUAGCGAGAGUACCGGAAGAAAAAGCAUCGGCUAACUCCGUGCCAGCAGCCGCGGUAAUACGGUGGAUGCGAGCGUGAUCCGGAUUUAUUGGGUUUAAAGGGUGCGUAGGCGGAAUAUCAAGUCAGCGGUAAAAAUUCGGGGCUCAACCCCGUCGUGCCGAUGAAACUGAGGUUCUUGAGUGGGCGAGAAGUAUGCGGAAUGCGUGGGGUAGCGGUGAAAUGCGUAGAUAUCACGCAGAACUCCGAUUGCGAAGGCAGCAUACCGGAGCCCAACUGACGCUGAAGCACGAAAGCGUGGGUAGCGAACAGGAUUAGAUACCCCUGUAGUC